UGGGGAAUAUUGCACAAUGGGCGAAAGCCUGAUGCAGCGACGCCGCGUGAGGGAUGACGGCCUUCGGGUUGUAAACCUCUUUCAGCAGGGAAGAAGCGAAAGUGACGGUACCUGCAGAAGAAGCGCCGGCUAACUACGUGCCAGCAGCCGCGGUAAUACGUAGGGCGCAAACGUUGUCCGGAAUUAUUGGGCGUAAAGAGCUCGUAGGCGGUUAGUCGCGUCUGCUGUGAAAACUCGAGGCUCAACCUCGGGCUUGCAGUGGGUACGGGCUGACUAGAGUGCGGUAGGGGUGACUGGAAUUCCUGGUGUAGCGGUGGAAUGCGCAGAUAUCAGGAGGAACACCGAUGGCGAAGGCAGGUCACUGGGCCGCAACUGACGCUGAGGAGCGAAAGCAUGGGGAGCGAACAGGAUUAGAUACCCUGGUAGUCCAUGCCGUAAACGUUGGGCACUAGGUGUGGGGUCCAUUCCACGGAUUCCGUGCCGCAGCAAACGCAUUAAGUGCCCCGCCUGGGGAGUACGGCCGCAAGGCUAAAACUCAAAUGAAUUGACGGGGUCAUAGCUGUUUCCU
rnacentral:rRNA from 1 species